rnacentral:rRNA from 1 species
GACGAACGCUGGCGGCGUGCUUAACACAUGCAAGUCGAGCGGUAAGGCCCUUUCGGGGGUACACGAGCGGCGAACGGGUGAGUAACACGUGGGUGACCUGCCCUCAGCUCUGGGAUAAGCCCGGGAAACUGGGUCUAAUACUGGAUAUUACUCUGCGGUGCAUGCCGUGGGGUGGAAAGCCUUGUGCGGCUGGGGAUGGGCCCGCGGCCUAUCAGCUUGUUGGUGGGGUGAUGGCCUACCAAGGCGACGACGGGUAGCCGGCCUGAGAGGGCGACCGGCCACACUGGGACUGAGACACGGCCCAGACUCCUACGGGAGGCAGCAGUGGGGAAUCUUGCGCAAUGGGCGAAAGCCUGACGCAGCGACGCCGCGUGAGGGAUGACGGCCUCGGUU